rnacentral:lncRNA from 1 species
CUUUAAUUACUUUUCUAAACUACAUUCUAAAGAGAAAUUCUCAGUCGAAUAAGUCUCCUAAGGAGAAUUUCUCUGUACCUUUCCCAUGUUAACUUAGUAUAAUUUGUCUUCUUGAAUAGAGGAAAAAUAAUUUCUGUAAGUAGUUUAAUGUAAAUAUUUUUGCUGUCUACAUCCUUAAAAAUGAAAUACAGUACUAUUUAUAAGAUAUUGUACAUUUUAAAGUGGGACUAAGUGUUUUCAUAUAUAGAACCACAAUUUCUCUUCUCCCCCUGGUGGAUUUACUAUCCUCAGAUAAAUGGAACUCAUCUUGAUUAUCCCAGUCAUUGAAAGUUACGAUCUGUUCCUACAAAUAUUUAGUAUUUCAUUUUUUAAAUGAUGUGUGCAAUUAACAUGAUAAAGGUGAGUAUUAAUAUUCUUAGGAAAAAAUGAUAUACAAGAUUAUUCCCAGUUAACAUUAAAACUUUAUCCCACUUUGUCUUUUGCACUGAAUGACCUCAGUACAUUGCCAAAAAAGUGAAAUUUGGAUUCUCACAAUGUUCUCAGAACACAAUACAGUAUGCUAUCAGCUAAAUUUCCAUCAUGUCCUGGUAAAAUUUGUCAGUAAAAUGUAAUUAACCAUCUACUUAUUAGGAAACAACAAUUCAAAUAAUCUGUCCAGUUUACAUAAUUUGAAAAAAAAUCUACUUUAAAUUUAGCAAGACCUUAGGAUUUUUUUAAUAUAAACUGAUUAAAAUGUGUGUAUGACUUUCUAUCAGAUUAUAUUUCAAAAUGUUUACUUUCCUUGCAUUAAGACAAUUAAAAACUUAACAGAAACUAUAUGUUAGAAUGAAUAAUUUAAAGCCCAUACUGUUGUGUCAAACAUGAAAAAAUGGAAAAGUUUUUAUAAGUAGAAUUCUUUAUUCCUGAUAGCCAUUAGCUUAUUGAAUUGUUUAAUUUAUCUAAUUGUGAUUUUUAACGAUUUAAGAUGUUCUCUUACUACGUGUGUUUAAAAUGUUGCUUAUAAUGUUCCUGGGAAAAUAGACUUAUUUGUAAGGUUUUAUAAAUGCACAAUUUAUGUGUAAAUAUAAUUGGAAUCUAGGAUGACUCUUAGUAAUCUACUAUUCUUAAUUCAACCGUGACCACCAGCUACCUGACACAUUUUGUAAAUUUAAUGUCUGCGUGCAUGUGUGUGUGUGUGUGUGCGUGCACAUAUGUGCAUUAUUACAUUCUCAAAUGGAUUUAUCACUAAAUGUUUUUGUGCAAAUACUUGAGUUAUUCAUGUAAUGGGC